GGGGGGAUGGCUGAACGGUUAAAAGCCCCGUGUGGCCGCGGGAGCCGCUGCGUGCGGUUACAGGUUCAAAUCCUGUUCCCCCCUCCA
rnacentral:tRNA from 1 species